rnacentral:rRNA from 1 species
UGGGGAAUAUUGCACAAUGGGCGCAAGCCUGAUGCAGCAACGCCGCGUGAACGAUGAAGGUCUUCGGAUCGUAAAGUUCUGUUGCAGGGGAAGAUAAUGACGGUACCCUGUGAGGAAGCCCCGGCUAACUACGUGCCAGCAGCCGCGGUAAUACGUAGGGGGCUAGCGUUAUCCGGAUUUACUGGGCGUAAAGGGUGCGUAGGUGGUCUUUCAAGUCGGUGGUUAAAGGCUACGGCUCAACCGUAGUUAGCCUCCGAAACUGGAAGACUUGAGUGCAGGAGAGGAAAGUGGAAUUCCCAGUGUAGCGGUGAAAUGCGUAGAUAUUGGGAGGAACACCAGUAGCGAAGGCGGCCUUCUGGACUGCAACUGACACUGAGGCACGAAAGCGUGGGUAGCAAACAGG